AUGAUAAUUACAAGCUACAAGUGAGGGAUUGGAUCAUAGAAGGUCAAUAUAGCCUAACUGAUCCAGGUGAAAGUAUGAUAGAUAAAGGUAUUGCUAUUAAUAUCCUGUUAUUCUUGUUUCUGUGUAGUCUCUUCUUUAUGAUUCGAUCGAACUCAUUCUAGGACAGUUUAUACAGCAGUUUAUCAAUACAUUUGGUAAGUACUAUUCUUUACCAACAUAAAUUGGUUUGCCCUUUUGGAAAGCAAAAAAAUGAAACUGCGAAGUUAGAUGGAUAUGGCGGCUCUCCAAUUGCAGACUUUGGGCAGAUUCAGGCUUGAUGUCCCUGUUCUGGAUUUAUGGGACUGUGAUCAAAGCUUCCAUAAAGUUUGGGAGGCUGGGGAAACCGUCCACAAAUCUGCCUUCUACACAUUCUAGCUUUCCUUGCUUUGGAACUGCUCCAACAUGUGAAGUACAUCCCGACCCAGUACUACUUAGAACAGUUUUGAGUUUUGCCUUUCCAGGGCAAGAGUACAAGUUGCACAGUUCUAGUGCAAGGGCCGGAAGGUCAUCUCAGAUAGAACUUGUCAUACUUCCUCCCAGCAACAUCAGAGAUUAAUUGCAAUCAGAUAAUAUCAGUGUUAACACACACGGGAGAAAUCUUACCUUCGUGAGACAAAAGGCACCACCCCAAAUGUUAGUCCACAUGCUGCUUGGCAGAAUAAAGAGAACACAAUCAUCACCACAAUGGACCCGCCUAAAG